ACACACGGAUAACAUACCGAAAGGUAUGCUAAUACGGGAUAAUAUAUUUGAGAGGCAUCUCUUAAAUAUCAAAGGUGAGCCAGUACAGGAUGGACCCGCGUCUGAUUAGCUAGUUGGUAAGGUAACGGCUUACCAAGGCGACGAUCAGUAGCCGACCUGAGAGGGUGAUCGGCCACAUUGGAACUGAGACACGGUCCAAACUCCUACGGGAGGCAGCAGUGGGGAAUAUUGCACAAUGGGCGAAAGCCUGAUGCAGCAACGCCGCGUGAGUGAUGAAGGCCUUCGGGUCGUAAAACUCUGUCCUCAAGGAAGAUAAUGACGGUACUUGAGGAGGAAGCCCCGGCUAACUACGUGCCAGCAGCCGCGGUAAUACGUAGGGGGCUAGCGUUAUCCGGAUUUACUGGGCGUAAAGGGUGCGUAGGCGGUCUUUCAAGUCAGGAGUGAAAGGCUACGGCUCAACCGUAGUAAGCUCUUGAAACUGGGAGACUUGAGUGCAGGAGAGGAGAGUGGAAUUCCUAGUGUAGCGGUGAAAUGCGUAGAUAUUAGGAGGAACACCAGUUGCGAAGGCGGCUCUCUGGACUGUAACUGACGCUGAGGCACGAAAGCGUGGGGAGCAAACAGGAUUAGAUACCCUGGUAGUCCACGCUGUAAACGAUGAGUACUAGGUGUCGGGGGUUACCCCCUUCGGUGCCGCAGCUA
rnacentral:rRNA from 1 species